rnacentral:rRNA from 1 species
UAAGACGAACCAUGCAAACGUUGUUCGGAAUCACUGGGCUUAAAGGGCGCGUAGGCGGUCGAUCAAGUCCGGAGUGAAAUCUUUCGGCUCAACCGGAAAAGUGCUUUGGAUACUGAUCGGCUCGAAGGAGGUAGGGGUUGCGGGAACAGCCAGUGGAGCGGUGAAAUGCGUUGAUAUUGGCUGGAACGCCGGUGGCGAAAGCGCGCAACUGGACCUCUCUUGACGCUGAGGCGCGAAAGCCAGGGUAGCGAACGGGAUUAGAUACCCCGGUAGUCCUGGCCCUAAACGAUGGGCACUAGAUUGUGAGCGUGACAUGCGCCCUCAAUCGAAGCAAAAGUGGUUAGUGCCCCGCCUGGGGAGUAUGGUCGCAAGGCUG